rnacentral:rRNA from 1 species
UACACUCCUGCGGGAGGCAGCAGUGGGGAAUAUUGGACAAUGGGCGCAAGCCUGAUCCAGCCAUGCCGCGUGAGUGAUGAAGGCCCUAGGGUUGUAAAGCUCUUUCACCGGUGAAGAUAAUGACGGUAACCGGAGAAGAAGCCCCGGCUAACUUCGUGCCAGCAGCCGCGGUAAUACGAAGGGGGCUAGCGUUGUUCGGAUUUACUGGGCGUAAAGCGCACGUAGGCGGACUAUUAAGUCAGGGGUGAAAUCCCGGGGCUCAACCCCGGAACUGCCUUUGAUACUGGUAGUCUUGAGUUCGAGAGAGGUGAGUGGAAUUCCGAGUGUAGAGGUGAAAUUCGUAGAUAUUCGGAGGAACACCAGUGGCGAAGGCGGCUCACUGGCUCGAUACUGACGCUGAGGUGCGAAAGCGUGGGGAGCAAACAGGAUUAGAUACCCUUGUAGUCCC